UGAGGAAUAUUGGUCAAUGGGCGUAAGCCUGAACCAGCCAAGUAGCGUGAGGGAAGACUGCCCUAUGGGUUGUAAACCUCUUUUGUGCGGGGAUAAAGUGUGGGACGUGUCCCAUAUUGCAGGUACCGCACGAAUAAGGACCGGCUAAUUCCGUGCCAGCAGCCGCGGUAAUACGGAAGGUCCGGGCGUUAUCCGGAUUUAUUGGGUUUAAAGGGAGCGCAGGCCGUCCUUUAAGCGUGCUGUGAAAUGCCGCGGCUCAACCGUGGCACUGCAGCGCGAACUGGAGGACUUGAGUACGCACGAGGUAGGCGGAAUUCGUGGUGUAGCGGUGAAAUGCUUAGAUAUCACGAAGAACUCCGAUUGCGAAGGCAGCUUACCGGAGCGCAACUGACGCUGAGGCUCGAAAGCGCGGGUAUCGAACAGGAUUAGAUACCCUGGUAGUCCGCGCGGUAAACGAUGGAUGCCCGCCGUUGGGUUUUAGAAUUCAGCGGCCAAGCGAAAGCGUUAAGCAUCCCACCUGGGGAGUACGCCGGCAACGGUGAAACUCAAAGGAAUUGACGGGGGCCCGCACAAGCGGAGGAACAUGUGGUUUAAUUCGAUGAUACGCGAGGAACCUUACCCGGGCUUGAAUUGCAGGAGAACGAUCCAGAGAUGGUGAGGCCCUUCGGGGCUCCUGUGAAGGUGCUGCAUGGUUGUCGUCAGCUCGUGCCGUGAGGUGUCGGCUCAAGUGCCAUAACGAGCGCAACCCCUGUCCAUAGUUGCCAUCAGGUCGUGCUGGGCACUCUGUGGAGACUGCCGCCGUAAGGUGUGAGGAAGGUGGGGAUGACGUCAAAUCAGCACGGCCCUUACGUCCGGGGCUACACACGUGUUACAAUGGGGCAUACAGCGAGUUGGAUGUGCGCAAGUACGUCCGGAUCAAUAAAGUGCCUCUCAGUUCGGACUGGGGUCUGCAACCCGACCCCACGAAGCUGGAUUCGCUAGUAAUCGCGCAUCAGCCAUGGCGCGGUGAAUACGUUCCC
rnacentral:rRNA from 1 species